rnacentral:rRNA from 1 species
UGCCUUAGUAACGGCGAGUGAAGCGGCAAUAGCUCAAAUUUGAAAGCUGGCGUCUUCGACGUCCGCGUUGUAAUUUGUAGAGGAUGCUUCGGCGAAGACUCCUGCCUAAGUCCCCUGGAACGGGGCGUCAUAGAGGGUGAGAAUCCCGUAUGUGGCGGGCAGUCUAAGCCAUGUGAAGCUCCUUCGACGAGUCGAGUUGUUUGGGAAUGCAGCUCUAAAUGGGAGGUAAAUUUCUUCUAAAGCUAAAUAUUGGCCAGAGACCGAUAGCGCACAAGUAGAGUGAUCGAAAGAUGAAAAGCACUUUGGAAAGAGAGUUAAAAAGUACGUGAAAUUGUUGAAAGGGAAGCGCUUGCAACCAGACUCGCUCGUAGUUGCUCAGCCGGCCUCUUGGCCGGUGUACUCUUCUACGAUCGGGCCAGCAUCAGUUCGGGCGGCAGGAUAAAGGUGUCGGGAAUGUAGCACCCUUCGGGGUGUGUUAUAGCCCGGCGCGGAAUGCUGCCAGCCUGGACUGAGGAUCUCGCUUCGGCAAGGAUGCUGGCGUAAUGGUUGUAAGCGGCCCGUCUUGAAACACGGACCAAGGAGUCUAACAUCUAUGCGAGUGUUUGGGUGUCAAACCCAUGCGCGUAAUGAAAGUGAACGGAGGUGGGAACCCCUCACGGGGUGCACCAUCGACCGAUCCUGAUGUCUUCGGAUGGAUUUGAGUAAGAGCAUAGCUGUUGGGACCCGAAAGAUGGUGAACUAUGCCUGAAUAGGGUGAAGCCAGAGGAAACUCUGGUGGAGGCUCGCAGCGGUUCUGACGUGCAAAUCGAUCGUCAAAUUUGGGUAUAGGGGCGAAAGACUAAUC